rnacentral:rRNA from 1 species
UACGAAGGGGGCUAGCGUUGCUCGGAAUCACUGGGCGUAAAGCGCACGUAGGCGGCUUUUUAAGUCAGGGGUGAAAUCCUGGAGCUCAACUCCAGAACUGCCUUUGAUACUGGGAAGCUCGAGUCCGGGAGAGGUGAGUGGAACUCCGAGUGUAGAGGUGAAAUUCGUAGAUAUUAGGAAGAACACCAGUGGCGAAGGCGGCUCACUGGUCCGGUACUGACGCUGAGGUGCGAAAGCGGGGGGAGCAAACAGG